CACCAAAACUUCUAGUCAGGAUAUUUUCCAUUUCUUUGUGAAUAUACUCUCAAGAAAGUAUCUGUUACUGUUUUGGAAGAUUGAUAGUACUCACUUCUGUUUCUAUCUGUUUUAGAUAGUCUAUACAGAACUGAUGGGUAAUUUUCGUUUUGAAGAUAUGCCAUCAACUUCAGAGUAUCGGGGCACCUAUGAGUUGAAUACAAAACACGUUCCAAUACGUGACUAUUUUUGUUUUCGUAGUAAGGAACCCUACAUUA
rnacentral:snoRNA from 1 species